rnacentral:piRNA from 1 species
UGUCAAAGGAAGAGAAGGGCUUAAAAA